AGGGAACAUAAAUACUUCCAAAAUUCUAGGAAAUAGGUUUUCUCACUCUUUCCUCUACUAAGCAAGAUACUUAAAAUGAAGAAGCCCAUGAAGUCUUCUCCCUGCUGGACCAGAUUGUGCAGCAUUGUGUCCGUGAACUUCCAGAGUUUGCAUUAAAAAGUGACAGAACAUCAGAGUGCCAGAAGCUUCUCAUAUUGUGGCCCUGAAGGAAAGACUUGGCUCUCAAACCAGCAACAUCUGAUGUAACAGGUGGAAAGCACUAACAGCUGGGGACAUUUGGAAGACUUUUGUCACUUGGCAACACUGGAGACACAGAACUGACUGAGCAGACACUGCUGAAGUCCCACCACUUUUACCACAAGCAAGAGAAAUGAACAGCACAGAGAAAGGAGAUGUUAGAAACUACAGAAAGGUUUGGAUUGAAAUCUAUUUUUUCAUCAUCACAUGAGGCUCUUUGAACACGAGUUAACAGCCCCAAGAAUUAUGACUGUAGGGGGCAAAACUAGAAAGAGCUCACUGGUCAUUGUGACUGAGGAAAUUAUUUGGUUCACAGCUUAUAAAUACAUAAGCAGAUAUGAUUUGCAAAUGGAAAAGUGCUUAUUGCACUGACUUUAUCACAGCAUACUUUGGUUUUAAAACAGGGAAUCUCUCUGUGUCUAUAAAGAAUAAAAGACUUAAACAUGUCAUGAGCAAUGCAGUGCCUGAUAAAAGAGAUCACAACUACUUGGAACAGCACAAGCACUCUGUGUCUUCUCUCAUCUCUCUACAUAGACAUAGAAUACCCUGAAUUGGAAGAGUCUCUAAUACACAAUUGGUAUUCACAGAACAAAAGCCUCUUCAUCUUCACCCAUUCUCCCAAUGCUGCUUCAUUAAAUGAAGUUAAUGUCUUAAAAACGUUUAAAAAAAGACAUCUCUUACAGAACCAAGAACAAUUUUAACCUAUUUUCUUUUGUGGUUCAACGAAUUCAGGGGCUACUGCUUCUACAGGUUUCUGGUGUAACUUAACAGUUUAGUAUUUACCCCUUCCGUCAUUAAACCAGUUAGCCACACUUUUCUAAAGUUUACCAGGAAAAAGAAAAAUAGGUCUGAAAGCAAAUCAAGAUAUAUUGAUCCUUCAUGUAUGUGCACUCAUACUUUAAAAACAAAAAGAGAGAUUUUACAGAAAAAACUUUUUAAAAAUACAGAAAAAACCCACAUAUACUUAGAUAAUUUCCCCACUCCCACUUCUAGACUGAUUAGCUGGCAUGGCACAAUAUUACAGUACCCUUGGAUCUGUAACACAGCUAAAGACAGGCAAAAUACAAUUACGGUGUACACUCAGCUACAAGGAAUACUUCUUGUCUUCCAUCCCAGCCUCAGCUUUUAUUUUGCCUGUGAGACACGUGCAUUCCCACAGAGCUUGAAUUGCCAAGAACAUAAUCUCCUACAUGCAGAAUAAGAGCACAGGUCACUCCAAGACAGAGUACAUUUUCACAGGAGUUUCAAGAUGCUUUUUAUGAUGUAGUAUGUAUUCCACUAUGACAACACAGUCCACUUGUUUUACAUUUAAUCUCACCUUUGUUUUAUUUGAAGAACAGAAUACACUCUAGUUUUGUUUUCUGGGUUUUUUAAAUAAAUAUAUAAAAAACUAUCC